rnacentral:rRNA from 1 species
GAUGAACGCUGGCGGCGUGCCUAAUACAUGCAAGUCGAGCGAACGGACGAGAAGCUUGCUUCUCUGAUGUUAGCGGCGGACGGGUGAGUAACACGUGGAUAACCUACCUAUAAGACUGGGAUAACUUCGGGAAACCGGAGCUAAUACCGGAUAAUAUUUUGAACCGCAUGGUUCAAAAGUGAAAGACGGUCUUGCUGUCACUUAUAGAUGGAUCCGCGCUGCAUUAGCUAGUUGGUAAGGUAACGGCUUACCAAGGCAACGAUGCAUAGCCGACCUGAGAGGGUGAUCAGCCACACUGGAACUGAGACACGGUCCAGACUCCUACGGGAGGCAGCAGUAGGGAAUCUUCCGCAAUGGGCGAAAGCCUGACGGAGCAACGCCGCGUGAGUGAUGAAGGUCUUCGGAUCGUAAAGCUCUGUUAUUAGGGAAGAACAUAUGUGUAAGUAACUGUGCACAUCUUGACGGUACCUAAUCAGAAAGCCACGGCUAACUACGUG